GAUGAACGCUGGCGGCGUGCCUAAUACAUGCCAGUCGAGCGAACGGACGAGAAGCUUGCUUCUCUGAUGUUAGCGGCGGACGGGUGAGUAACACGUGGAUAACCUACCUAUAAGACUGGGAUAACUUCGGGAAACCGGAGCUAAUACCGGAUAAUAUUUUGAACCGCAUGGUUCAAAAGUAAAAGACGGUCUUGCUGUCACUUAUAGAUGGAUCCGCGCUGCAUUAGCUAGUUGGUAAGAUAACGGCUUACCAAGGCAACGAUGCAUAGCCGACCUGAGAGGGUGAUCGGCCACACUGGAACUGAGACACGGUCCAGACUCCUACGGGAGGCAGCAGUAGGGAAUCUUCCGCAAUGGGCGAAAGCCUGACGGAGCAACGCCGCGUGAGUGAUGAAGGUCUUCGGAUCGUAAAACUCUGUUAUUAGGGAAGAACAUAUGUGUAAGUAACUGUGCACAUCUUGACGGUACCUAAUCAGAAAGCCACGGCUAACUACGUG
rnacentral:rRNA from 1 species